AGAGGAUGAAGAUACUGAUCAUGCUCGGGCUUAUAAAUCCAGGUCUUCGCAGAAACGUUCUAUGCAUACAUCUGUCAUCAGUAAGCAGAAAGAUUCUCCUGUCAAGGUCCAUUCGAAGAAUGAUAAUUCACCUGAAAGAAUGGCAGGUCAUCAGGUUAAUGAAUCUCUGAGCCAUCUUGAUAUUGUGGAAUCAAGGAAGAAAGACCAGGAAAUAAAGAGUGAGAAGGGUUCUCAGAAGGGGGCUUAUUCUGAAACACCGGAGCGGCAGAAGUCUCCAACCUCAUAUGAGGAGCCUUCGCUGGGGAAGAGACAAAUGUCUUAUGCAGGAGAGGGUAAAAAAUCUGAUGAGAGAAACCAUUCACAUUCAAACAAGGUCAAGGACAGUGAUAAGUGCCAUAAGUCAGAAACUAUGCAGAUGUUGGUGGAAAAAGCUGAUCACAGUAAUGGAGGCGGUAGUGCGUUUGAUUAUGGUUCUGAGGAAAGUGACAAGCGCAGAACUGAGAACAAGGAAAAGCGAAAGCAUAAAAGAUCACAUAGGGAAGAAGUGGCUUCAGAUGAUGAUUACAGUUAUGAUUCUGAAUAUGAAGAAAGGAAAGA
rnacentral:misc_RNA from 1 species